CGUCAUCGUCUCCCAGUUGCGUAGAUCGAUGCUCAUGAUGUUGAUAACUGGAUUGUCUGGUGCAGACUCGAUUAUUUACAGACGGCAGUCAUAUGGCUCGAAUAUUGCUCGACUGCGGCGUUUAAC